rnacentral:rRNA from 1 species
UACGUAGGGGGCAAGCGUUGUCCGGAUUUAUUGGGCGUAGAGAGCGUGUAGGCGGCUAGAUAGGUCCGUUGUGAAAACUCGAGGCUCAACCUCGAGACGCCGGUGGAAACCAUCUAGCUAGAGUCCGGAAGAGGAGAGUGGAAUUCCUGGUGUAGCGGUGAAAUGCGCAGAUAUCGGGAAGAACACCCGUGGCGAAGGCGGUUCUCUGGGACGGUACUGACGCUGAGACGCGAAAGCGUGGGGAGCGAACAGG